UAUUGUGUGAGCUGUGUGGUCUUACCAGACCCUGUUUCCCCAACGAUUAUCACCACAUUGUUAUCGCGAAUCACACUCAAGAGCCACACUCAAGAGCCUCUGCUCAAGAGCUGUAGAUCUAGAUUAUUACGAGAACACACAAAUCUGCAACUCAUAUUAAAUUGGUACAAUCAAAAACAAAAUAAACUGAACAUUCGUACAACUAACAGGCUACACGUUUAGUUUUGUUAACGACACGUCACAAGUUGAGCAAUGUCAAUGCCUUUGAGCCUCUUCCUGGGAUAUAUACGUAUCAUACGUUGUUGCUAUGUGACGGUAGAGAUCGUACUGCUGAUCCCUCUCCCUUUUCUUGUACCACAUGGCAGAACAACUCUGGAGAAGAGCACCCAGAAUACCUAAACCAGCACCGACACAGUAUUCACAAAUCACACAGUUUUCCGAGUCACGAAAGGCUAUAUUAAGUAUGUAACCAAAAAAGCCGAACAGGAAAAGUGUGAAGAAGACAUAACCUGACAGUAGUCCUCUCAUGUUGUAUGGUGACUGAGCACAUACAAACUCAACUGAUAGGCACCAACACAGGCUUAACGCACUACUGGAUAGAAUAGCAUACACAAAUUGAGACCAAGGGGAUAUAUAACCGUCAUAUUGGUAAAAAACAACUACAGAAAAUAUUGAGUUUGCAAUGUUGAGGAACAUCACCAGAAAAACAAAAACGGUCAGUUGCCUCAUAAUGCUACCAACGAUAUGUCUGACCACUGGGUAAACGAUGAACUUAUACAGCAAUACAGUGAUCACACUACACCAAAAAGGGUUGUAGGUAAAAUUUGAAAAUAAGGUAUACACACAAGUUGAGUUAGGGAGCUCCCGGAAUUCAAGAGGUGUUUCAAAAACAUAGAAUACCCCAUACACGUUCAUUGAAGACGUCGUGACCCACAUAGGGACGAAAACAACCAACAAUCUGCCAAACGUUUUCACAUCCUCAACUUGUUCUGUUGUGAAUGGACCCCCAAAACGAGACUUUCCAAGAUCUAGUCUAGAAGGAAUGUUUUCUUCCCAGUACGUAAAAGCACUGCGAUUUACUGGAGAUGUGUGCUUGGCUGCAAACUUGAGAACUCUGUACACGUUUCUAAAAACCUGCGUUGACUGUGGUUCAAUAAUAAGCACCUUCUGACCAAAUAUAAACAGUGUACACAGAAGAAUGCACACACAAAGAACAGGAAAUAGGCUCAAUAUUCGCUGGAGAUAAUGAAAAUUAAAGCAUGUUGUCACAAGGUAAUAUAACAAGUCGCCGACCCAGAAUCCAAAACUCAAUACCACAGCAUACCACUUUGAAAACGAUGAAAUAUCAGUUGAAGAUGCGUCCGGCAUCUGAUCCAAGCCUGCUGAAACAAUGUAACCAAACAAGCACCUCCACCGGAAAAGAACAUUACAUUUGAAACUGGAGCAGCUACAAUACUAACCACGAAAUAAGUACCGCUGUCUUCAUGAAUUGUUUUCAAGACCAAGAUUGUUACACUUGCAACAACAAUUCCGAAAAAUAAGAGCAAUGCUCCAGUUUUGAACACUCUGAAAUUACCGAAUCGUGAGUCUGCCAGAUAACCAGAUAGUGGAAUGGCAAUAACAAGAGUUAAAGUAGGAACUGCAUUAUCUAUCACAUUUAAGCUGAGAACUCCCUUGAUUUCAAGUCCACUAUAGACUUGUUCUUUAAAAUCAGUGCUGAACCACAGUGCUGCACUUACGCACCAACUCCACAAGAGAACAAGAGCAGCACCUUUUGAGUAACAACACUUCAUUUUAAGUCUACCUAUGAUGGAGUUAGUGUAACACCAUGUAUUUAUAUGUACUUAAAUCGUAAGUAAACUGGAAUCCCGAGAGUGACUAUUGCUAUUGUACGAAUACGAAGUUUGUUUUUUCAAGUCAGUGUUUUUAAUUUCA